CCUCUCCUCCCCACUCAUCCCAGUCCCACCCGUCUUUGGCAACCACUGGCCACUGCCUCUCCCGCUUCUCCAGCGAAGGUCACCUUUUCAAUGUUCAUAGCUGUUGUGGUGAUGAUUGUUUAAAAAAAAAAAAAAAAAAAAACGCUAAAAAUGUGAAGGUGCCGAGCGGAACACGUCUUUGUCUCAGUCUGCACGUGCUGGAUCAUGGUUGUAUAUUUGUGAAUGCUGUCACAUUAAUGGUGUUUAUGAGGAAUGUGAUAUGAUAUAUAUGAUAUGUAUGAUAUAUAUGAUGAUGAUAAUGAUGAUGGUCAGGUGACCCUGUAAACAAGCUGUGGCUGUUCACCAGCAGGCCACGCCUCAGUGGCCUUCGCUCUCUCUCGGAUCUGAGCAGCAGAAUCUUUCUGUGAAUGAUGUCAAAUCUCAUCUGCGCUAAGGGUCAACAUUAGCAUGGGGAGGGAGGGGAUAAACUUAUUUGUCCUCCCUCUUUUUUUGCAUUCGCUGGAGGUCUUGACCCAGGGCAAAGCAUGUGACCCCAGUCUGGCCUUCCAGUCCUUCCUCAGUCUCAUCACAUUACCACAUUACUACCUUCACCCUCGGUGUAAAUAUAUAUGCAGUAGAGGCCACCCCAUUAUAUAAUUCCAUAUACACCAUCCGAUUUACGGACUACAUUUCCCAUCAGCCUCUCUGUUUCAGGAUUUUUGGCUUGGAGGUUAUGUUUCUGGUGUCUCCCCCUAACCCCAACACAACCAAACCCCCACCCCCCACCCCGACCCCACCGAAGCCGUCGAUCACUCUUCCUUGUCGCUUGUUGAUAGCAUGUACUGGUUAGAGCUGUUCCUGUUGUGCCGUCCAUCCAAGCCCGAGCCCUCUCUAUAGCCCCUGCACUGUGUACAUUUAAUCUGCAAGGUUAACUGCUAAUUGCUUUUUUUUUUUUUUUGGUGUUAAUAAUGAUGAUGAUGAUGAAGAUGAUGAUCAUUAUGAUGAUAAUAAUAAUGAUGUUAAUUAAGUAUUUGAACUCAAUAUGAUGGUAAUUACAUGUGAGAAAAAAAAUAUUAUAAUAAUCCCAGAGCCAUGUGUGCGAAAAUAUUUUGUACUUUGCUCUGAAAAAAAAAAAAAUUAAUAAUAAUUAUAAGGUUUUUUUUUUUUUUUUUCAAAGUGUUGUGCUCUAUUUUGCCAUGAGAACCUUUUAAAAAAAAAACAAAAAAAAAACAAGGUGAUGAGCUGGAGUGCAGCAAAACACUGCUUUGAAUUAGCCCCGACUUUGUUAUGCUAGCAUGCCACGAUGCUAGACUAAUUUAACCAGAUAUUUGACAAACGUAGGGUUUGCUGUGCAUCCGCACACUCACAAAGAGAGCAAUCAAUGAAAUGUACUAUAAUUUGUACCGUGUAUGUAUUCAACCGUUUCUUUUUAAGGCUCUGUACUGUAUCGAAUGUAUGCUAACCUUUAUGCUGUCCCACCGUUUUUUGCUGUAACAUUGUCAGCCAUCUUGCCGUCACAACCAAAAACUCUCGGCAUAUUCGAAAUCCCGUGUGCUCGCCCCCUUCGUACGUUACUUCCUUCCUCCAGCCGCUUUCGAGAGGGAGCCAAAUUAGUGGGGAAUAGAGACGUAAUUAGCGAGCGGAUCGCUAAGCGAGGGCGCCGUCGCUCUUCUCCUCAUCCCUCCAUCUGCUGAGGAGCAGAGCUCAUAAAUCUAGCUCAAUCCAGGCACUGACAGGGACCCUCUUCAAGGACGACAGUGUCUUGGUGGUGACUAAUUAACCACCACUUAAAGGCGCGUAGAGAAGACGCUGCGACCAUGUGCUCGGCGGCGCAUGGCUUAACAGUGAGCGCUGGUUUCCGCAUCGCGUAUGCCGUAUGCAAGCUCUUACAUUCAUGGACAAAAAGCACGGUUAGGAGCCGAUCAUUCAGUCACGUAAGUGCUGUAUAUAGCAUGUUUUGACAUCGUUGUGUCCCCAUAGCUAAUUUUGUCAAAUCCAGCAAUAACCAAACUAAAACGUAAAUGUAAAGAAGUAUCUAAUUGGCGUAAUCUGUUACGUGUUGACCGGAGUGCCAUGCUAAUCUAAUCCUGAAAGUGUUGUGUGAUAAAUUAAUGUCAUGUGUGUGAUGGAAGGAGCUCUGGAAGCGGAGUUUAAAGGUUGACCCGGCCUACAUGCUUCUCCAUACCCGUUCCAUCUCUCUCUCUCUCUUCCUCUCUCUCUCUCUCUCUCUCUCUAUCUACCUAUCCAUCUAUCUAUAUGGAUCUAUCUAUGGUGUACAAAUCCGUACUGUAUAGCCACAAUUGCAACACACACUUGCAUGUUUUUGAGAUCCCAUCCAAAAUUUUCUCAUUUGGGUUCAAUUUGAAGCACAAAACCGGUCCCAGUGCUAAUUUUUCUCUGUAUCUGUCUGUCCUUGUCCCUCUUUACUUGUUCACGACUGCGCCCGUGUAAAGCUCAAUGAUCCAUGGCAAACCUAUCUGUGCUCAUGUUUUCUCCUGAACAAUAAGUAAACAAACAAACAAACAAAAAAAAAAGAUAUGUCAUGUUUCUCAAUGUGGGUUAUAAAAAAAAAAAAAAGCAUGUCAGUGUUUUGUUAUGGGUGGAUUUUCCUUUUAAGAAAAAAAAAAAGUAUGAAUAUGAAAAGUGUGUGUGUGUGUGUGUGUGUGUGUGUGUGUGUGUGGGAAAGGUUGGCUUUAAAAUAUGGAAGAUUGAAGUGUGAUUUGAUAUGAGCUCCCCUGUAGAGAUGAGUGAUUGUGGGUUACCUGGAGGUCUGGUUUGGGAGGUGAAGAGAGGCAUGUGAGGCAGGAAGGGUGAGAUGGGCCAGCGCUGACCAGACACUGAACUCCCUCUGUAUGCAUGCGAUUAACUGGAAGGCAGCAGCUACAUAUCAGCUUGUGGAUCCAUUUUUUAUAAAGGCAGAUUGCGUCUAUUGAUUUUCCUGCCGCUUCGCUCUGCUGCUUAUGUCCACACAUUUAAAAUGCGCUUCAAUUCUAAUGUCCUACUAGUGUCCAAUAAUACUGAUGGAUACUACAUGCGUUAGUAAGAGGCUUCUAAUUCAUCCACAAACGCUGCAAUUAUUUUUUCUUUAGCCACAUGGACGCUCACAACAUAUCCAUGAGCUUCCUCAUGUCCAAUCAGGAGGCACUUGACCGUACAGGUGUCCAAUCAGGAGGUGUCUGGAUUUACACGCGUUCAAACAGGAGGCACUUGAGGUUGCACGUGUCCAAUCAAGAGGCACACAAGUGUCCAAUCUUGUCCCACUUUGCCUUAUAUGUGGCCAAUCAAGAGGUAAGUGCGUGCGCUUACAUCAGUCCAAUCAGGAGGAACCUGAGCUUGUACCCAUCCAAUCAGAAGGCACCUGAACAUUCCCUGCAGGACUUUGAAGAAAUGAUAUGUGUCUUAAUUUCUUUGUAGGAUAGUAAAAUAUCUCUGCUGUCACGAUUUUACAUUUCAAUUUAUUGAUUUAACAGCCAUCUUUUCCCAGAGUGGCUUUUUGCACAGACCGAACCAGUUCGUGGAAUGAAACCAAAAUCAGAAACGAAUUAAUGGUAAUUUGCUACGAACAAAAACGCAAAUAUAAACGUAAUCGUCCUUGUUCGGAAGCAUUCGUUUGAAUCUGUUACCAGUUAAUAACUAAAUAAAAAUGAAUUAUUUAAAAUAGUUUAGCCUUAUACGACAACAUUUUUCUACAUCUAUCUACUAUUUUAUCAUAUUAAACCUACAUACCGCCUCUAAAAAAUGAUAGGAAUGGACCAUUUUGUUCUCUGUUGGUUGUAAUGUUAGGGACGUUAUGCGGGGGUUAGAAGACAAUAAGGAAAAGGUUCUAAUACGUUUUUUUUUUUUAAAAGUUCUGCUCAAUGUAGUUUAGUGUUUCAUGACGCUUUAAGGUAUAAAUCUGAACAACUGAAGGUUAAGAGUAUUGCGUAAGGAUUUAAUGGUGCCUUGCUGAUAGUAAUGGGAAUUCGAACUGACAUCCUUCUGAUCACAGAUACAGCAGUUUAACCCUUACUGAACUGAGUAGAUUCAUUUUAUGUGAAUGCUUUAAACCAAACCUUUAAAUUUGUUUUUAACCAAAUAUAAGGCAUAAUGCUAAUUUAAUUAUAGAUAGAUAGAUAGAUAGAUAGAUAGAUAGAUAGAUAGAUAGAUAGAUAGAUAGAUAGAUAGACAGGCAGAUAGAUAGAUAUAUAGAUAGAUAGAUGGAUAGAUAGAUAGAUAGAUAGAUAGAUAGAUAGAUAGAUAGAUAGAUAGAUAGACAGACAGAUAGAUAGAUAGAUAGAUAGAUAGAUAGAUAGAUAGAUAGAUAGAUAGAUAGAUAGAUAGAUAGAAUUAUUAUGAAUGAGGUGUUAGGUGUUUUUUUUUUAAUGACUCAAUAAUAUAUAAGUUUCACUUUAAGGAGUUUGUAUGAAAAUCUCAUUUUAUCCGAUCAUCUUAUCAUAAUCUAUGGUCAUUUUGUUGCAUUUUGUAACAUUUGUAAAGUAAUAUUCAGAGGACACUAUAGAAAAUGGCAUAUUUUAAUGGUUUAAAUUCAAUAACUGAACAACAAGACAAUUAUUCAUUUGAGACGUAAUUAGUAAUACUUUGAGAAAUGUCAGCGCUUAUGGAUACUGUGUAUCUUGAAGUAAAGAUGAGAUCUCUGUGAGUUAGAAUUGGACACAACAAAAUAAACAUAAGGGUUUGUUUAUUUGUGUUUUUGUUGGGGUUUUUUUUUUUUUUUUUUUAGAAAUAGCAUAAUUCAGUAUCUUUUCAUAGAUAAGAACAGUUAUUGUCACAGACAGAUAAUGCAGAUAGAACAAAGAGAAAAGAUUCUUCUGAAAGAUAAAGAAAUAAAUAAACAAGGAAAGAUUGCUUUGAGAAAUAGAAUAAGGGAAUGGAUGGAUGGAUGGAUAGAUAGACGGACGGACGGACGGACAAACAGACAGACAGACAGACAGACAGACAGAUAGAUAGAUAGAUAGAUAGAUAGAUAGAUAGAUAGAUAGAUAGAUAGAUAGAUAGAUCAUAUUAAAGUAAUAGUUUGGUCAAAAAUGAAAUUUACACAUUAACACAGAUGGAUUCAUUCAGCCGAGACAGUAGGGUAACAAGCUGCAACCUGUUCUUCAGUGAUGUCACACAGACUUAUCCAUGUGGGUUAGGACACAGACGACUGUUAUAAGCUAUACCAGACUUCAUCAACUGGUAGAAUGUCCAGAUACAGCUCCAGCAAAGUAUUUCUGUGGAUCAAACUGAGAACUCCAAAAAUACUGUAGCAGAGCCAAUCAGUGUACGGAAAAUAACUGGCUAUAGCUCAGUGAAAAACAAUGUUGUGUUGAGGCUUGUUGCAGCCAAUCACAUGCAUUUAUGUAAAUUACUUAGUCGAAGGCUGUUCAUCAAGAAGAGAAACUAUUUUGGCAGACUUUCAUGGAUUUUUCGUUUGACUUACCCUGUCUGGUCUGAUUAGUGAAAUGUCAGCAUGGCUUGUUCAAAACCAAACCAAACCAAACAAAACAACAUUUAAAGACGAGAAGAGAAGCAUGCAUUUAUUCUUUUCUCCAAAGUUCAAAACAGACAUCUCAGCUACGGUAUUAGUCAGGUGUGGCGCUAGUCAAAUGUGGAAACGUGAACUGCCAGUAUGAAACAAAACAUAACCCCUCUGAUGUGUUUUGAUUAUAACUAUGAAUUAAUCCUGAAUAAUUAAUCAUUAAAAGGUAACUUUUAUCACCGUUCAGUCAUGUUACUCGUGCGUAAGCAAGGAAAGAAUAAACAAAACUUCACUGUUUACCCAAACACUGUAACAUUACUGUAUGAGAGAUUAAACGUAACAGCAUUAAUGCCAUGGAAAGACUUCACGAUGAUACAUUGACACACAGGGUAUACAUAGACAUACUAACGAAGGGCUAACACAAAAUAGGUGAUCACACUUGGGUAACAAACUAAUGAUGGGGCAGGGGGUGGAGUCAGGAAUGGAAUAGAAACCAUCGACAAACAUGAGCACAAGGCAUUUAUGGCAUGGAAUGGAAGCUGUUACAGGUGCUUCUUGGGUCGUACCUCAGAAAGAUUAGUAUGCAGACGACACAUUAGUUAGAGUUUGAAUUUUAACGUACAAACACAUGCGCCGGUAUUUCUGCUACUUUACAAACUUGAAUAUCUUGGCAUCUGUUUUGGAAAAGGAUGUUGGAGGAAAGACUUCCAUCACUUGUAAACAACAUCACCUGUAUAAUUAUUGUAGCUGCACGAAGUAAAGAAGCAAAACGCUGGACGUCAAACACGCCUCGGGUGAAUCAGGGUGUGGGUACAAAUGUGUAAAUUUCAUUUUAUGCUAAACUAUCAAUCUCCAUUUGAUGUUUAAUUAUCCUGCAAAUUAUGAAGCGUUUGUGUGCAUAAGGUUUUGACGCAACAGGUGCUGCUUGUCAGUCGUGUACAGCUGUAUUGAUAGCACGCCGCUGAUUAUCUGAGCAUAAUUCAGUAGGUG
ensembl:lncRNA